rnacentral:rRNA from 1 species
UACGGAGGGUGCGAGCGUUAAUCGGAAUUACUGGGCGUAAAGCGUGCGCAGGCGGAUUGUUAAGCGAGAUGUGAAAGCCCCGGGCUCAACCUGGGAACCGCAUUUCGAACUGGCAAACUAGAGUCUUGUAGAGGGGGGUAGAAUUCCAGGUGUAGCGGUGAAAUGCGUAGAGAUCUGGAGGAAUACCGGUGGCGAAGGCGGCCCCCUGGACAAAGACUGACGCUCAGGCACGAAAGCGUGGGGAGCAAACAGG